GGCCAUUAUAAAAAAAUUUAGAGAUGAAGAAAAUCCCAGAAGCUCUAAAGGAAAGCUGGAAAUGGAGAGAUUAUCAUAAAAGACCUCAGGGAAAUAACACAUUAUUAAAGACAGAAAAAUAACUGUGCUCUACCUGCUUAUGAAUUUGAUCCCUAUUUCUAAUAUAAAUCCCUCGGCAUAUUUCCCUUAUAAACAAUUCAGAUAUCUGAAGAGUUUAUCAAGGCCAGGUUUAUUAACUAUGAUACAUUUGAAACAGGACAUUAAGACUCCCAGAAGACUUUUCUCCCUCAGGUUUUCCAGGCAAAAUUAAUGGUUGCUGACAGCUCUGCAGCAAGUACUAGUUAAAACAAUGCAAGGAUAGUGGGGACCUUAUCAUCUACUAAUCUAGGUGGAAAUGUUACUUUGGGUUGUCUGAAAGGCAAAGCUAGAUACAAUUAACUACCAGUGAUAGGUAUUCAACUCAAAAAGAACUAAGGUCAAGCCUUACUUCCUUUUUUGUUUUUCCUACCCAGAGGUAGCAGAACUCUUGUUAUUCAUCCAAGAAUACUGUGUAGCUCUUAUGAUUCCCACUGAAAAAUAUUCAAAUUAUACAAAAGCAAUCCAUUUCAUUAACUGACCAGUUCUAAAAAUUAAAUAAGAAUAACUAUUACCAAACUUUGUGUUUUAUUAAUUUGGCAUUACAAAGAAUAGUUUUUAUCAUGUGUUCAUAAUCCAACUGUAAGACUUAAAAGUUUGGCCGGACGCGGUAGCUCAUGCCUGUAAUCCCAGCACUUCCAGCGGCCGAGGCUGGCGGACAGUGAGGUCAAGAGAUCGAGACCAUCCUGGCUAACAUGGUGAAACCCCGUCUCUAC
rnacentral:lncRNA from 1 species